GAGUUUGAUCUUGGCUCAGGAUGAACGCUGGCGGCGUGCCUAACACAUGCAAGUCGAGCGAAGCACUUUACUUUGAGAUCUUCGGAAGGAUAAGUUUUGUGACUGAGCGGCGGACGGGUGAGUAACGCGUGGGUAACCUGCCUCACACAGGGGGAUAACAGUUAGAAAUGACUGCUAAUACCGCAUAAGACCACAGCACCGCAUGGUGCAGGGGUAAAAACUCCGGUGGUGUGGGAUGGACCCGCGUCUGAUUAGGUAGUUGGUGGGUAACGGCCCACCAAGCCGACGAUCAGUAGCCGACCUGAGAGGUGACCGGCCACAAUGGAACUGAGACACGGUCCAUACUCCUACGGGA
rnacentral:rRNA from 1 species